CGCCGCGUGAGUGAUAGAAGGUCGUUUCGGAUCGUAAAGCUCUGUUGUUAGGGAAGAACAAGUGCGAGAGUAACUGCUCGCACCUUGACGGUACCUAACCAGAAAGCCACGGCUAACUACGUGCCAGCAGCCGCGGUAAUACGUAGGUGGCAAGCGUUGUCCGGAAUUAUUGGGCGUAAAGGGCUCGCAGGCGGUUUCUUAAGUCUGAUGUGAAAGCCCCCGGCUCAACCGGGGAGGGUCAUUGGAAACUGGGAAACUUGAGUGCAGAAGAGGAGAGUGGAAUUCCACGUGUAGCGGUGAAAUGCCUAGAGAUGUGGUAUGGAACACCAGUGGCGAA
rnacentral:rRNA from 1 species